UCACAAGACUUCAACAUUUGCACAAGCUACUUAGCUAAGGAGAAGGACCUUGCAAAAAGUUACUCAACACACAACCCUCCUCUGCAUCCAAGGUUGGAACCACCUAUGUAAAAGAUAAAACACUAAGCAAGACACAAGCAGAAGAGGAUGUAUAGAUGGAUGUGUGUGUUCAAGAAUUGCACAGCAAGGAGGUGAAAUCGUCAUAUGAUUCAUAUUUGAAAGGUCUCACAAUAUUAAAGGUGAUC